UUAAGUCCGGUAACGAGCGCAACCCUUGCCGUUAGUUACAAGUGUCUAACGGGACUGCCCGUUNAANNCGGGAGGAAGGUGGGGAUGACGUCAAGUCAGCAUGGCCUUUAUGUCCAGGGCUACACACACGCUACAAUGGCCGGUACAAUGGGUNGCCAACCCGCGAGGNGGAGCCAAUCCNANAAAGCCGGUCUCANUUCGNAUUGCAGGCUGCAACCCNCC
rnacentral:rRNA from 1 species